UAAAAUUCAGGAAUUCGCCGAGAGAGAGAAAGCUGGCAAAGUCCGCAUUCAAACUUUGCAGACCAAAAAUGCUGAAUUGAUGAGGAAACUGCAAGAUCAGACCAACAGGGAGAAGACGAACGAGGAAAAGGUCAAACGCCUGGAAAGACAAAUUCAGGAAUUCGCCGAGAGAGAGAAAGCUGAGGAAGUCCGCAUUCAAACUUUGCAGACCAAAAAUGCUGAAUUGAUG